CAGAGUGCGAGGCUCAGUCGUGGCGUCUGCUGCGUGCUGGGCCGACCCUCCCACCCGUGUCGAUUUGUAUCUUGUUGCUUUGGCGGGCCGGGCCGCGCUGUUGCAGUCCGCAUGGACAUGCGUCGGCCGCCCCCCCGGUGUUCCACUGGAGCGCGCCCGCCAAAGACCCAACCAAAACUCAUGUUGUUUGUAUCGUCUCAGCUUUAUUAUGAAAAUUGAUA
rnacentral:misc_RNA from 1 species